AGAACAUUGCCGCCGUCCUCAUGUCCCUUCAUCACUGGAAACACCCUCUUCGGAGGGUGACGCCUGAGCUGGCUCACGCCGCCCGCGGCCUUUUGGCCGGCACGGGUUUGGCAUGGGGGCCGGUAGCUCAGGUGGUUAGAGCGCACGCCUGAUAAGCGUGAGGUCGUAGGUUCAACUCCUACUCGGCCCACCAUUGCCUAUGCGAUUGGUAGGGGGCCUUAGCUCAGCUGGGAGAGCGGUUGCUUUGCAAGCAUCAGGUCAUCGGUUCGAUCCCGAUAGGCUCCACCAUAUCCAAGCGAUUUUCCAGGUGAUGAAGACAUCAGUUCCGAUGCGGCACGCCGUAUCGGUUAUGGAGCCAUCGGCUCCUCUUUGACAUUGUGAAUGGGUUCUUAAAAUCGUUGGUGUGAUGGUAUUGAUUUGGACAAGCGGACUUCGGUCCGUCAGCGCCAAAUCAGUUCAAUCACUUCGAGCGGCAUUGCGGUUUCGACCGUGAUGUACGCUCAUCAAUCUGGCUGAGAUUACAAUCAUCCAUACCAAGAUACCU
rnacentral:tRNA from 1 species